ACGAACGCUGGCGGCGUGGAUAAGACAUGCAAGUCGAACGGGAGAAUUGCUAGCUUGCUAAUAAUUCUCUAGUGGCGCACGGGUGAGUAACACGUGAGUAACCUGCCUCUUAGUGGGGGAUAGCCCUGGGAAACCGGGAUUAAUACCGCAUACGAUUGAAAGAUCAAAGCAGCAAUGCGCUAGGAGAUGGGCUCGCGGCCUAUUAGUUAGUUGGUGAGGUAACGGCUCACCAAGGCGAUGACGGGUAGCCGGUCUGAGAGGAUGUCCGGCCACACUGGAACUGAGACACGGUCCAGACACCUACGGGUGGCAGCAGUCGAGAAUCAUUCACAAUGGGGGCAACCCUGAUGGUGCGACGCCGCGUGGGGGAAUGAAGGUCUUCGGAUUGUAAACCCCUGUCAUGUGGGAGCAAAUUAAAAAGAUAGUACCACAAGAGGAAGAGACGGCUAACUCUGUGCCAGCAGCCGCGGUAAUACAGAGGUCUCAAGCGUUGUUCGGAAUCACUGGGCGUAAAGCGUGCGUAGGCUGUUUCGUAAGUCGUGUGUGAAAGGCAGGGGCUCAACCCCUGGAUUGCACAUGAUACUGCGAGACUAGAGUAAUGGAGGGGGAACCGGAAUUCUCGGUGUAGCAGUGAAAUGCGUAGAUAUCGAGAGGAACACUCGUGGCGAAGGCGGGUUCCUGGACAUUAACUGACGCUGAGGCACGAAGGCCAGGGGAGCGAAAGGGAUUAGAUACCCCUGUAGUCCUGGCAGUAAACGGUGCACGCUUGGUGUGCGGGGAAUCGACCCCCUGCGUGCCGGAGCUAACGCGUUAAGCGUGCCGCCUGGGGAGUACGGUCGCAAGAUUAAAACUCAAAGAAAUUGACGGGGACCCGCACAAGCGGUGGAGUAUGUGGCUUAAUUCGAUGCAACGCGAAGAACCUUACCUGGGCUUGACAUGUAAUGAACAACAUGUGAAAGCAUGCGACUCUUCGGAGGCGUUACACAGGUGCUGCAUGGCCGUCGUCAGCUCGUGUCGUGAGAUGUUUGGUUAAGUCCAGCAACGAGCGCAACCCCUGUUGCCAGUUACCAGCACGUCAAGGUGGGGACUCUGGCGAGACUGCCCAGAUCAACUGGGAGGAAGGUGGGGACGACGUCAGGUCAGUAUGGCCCUUAUGCCCAGGGCUGCACACGUACUACAAUGCCCAGUACAGAGGGGGCCGAAGCCGCGAGGCGGAGGAAAUCCUGAAAACUGGGCCCAGUUCGGACUGUAGGCUGCAACCCGCCUACACGAAGCCGGAAUCGCUAGUAAUGGCGCAUCAGCUACGGCGCCGUGAAUACGUUCCCGGGUCUUGUACGCACCGCCCGUCACAUCAUGGAAGCCGGUCGCACCCGAAGUAUCUGAAGCCAACCGCAAGGAGGCAGGGUCCUAAGGUGAGACUGGUAACUGGGAUG
rnacentral:rRNA from 1 species